GCCGGGCCUCGUGGUGCUUUGUUGCCGGAUUGCGGGCCACGUUAAAGAAGCCGCUAAAGAGGCGAGGGCGCACAGCCC
rnacentral:ncRNA from 22 species